rnacentral:sRNA from 1 species
AGCAGCCGCGGUAAUUCCAGCUCCAAUAGCGUAUAUUAAAGUUGUUGCAGUUAAAAAGCUCGUAGUUGAAUUUCGGGGUUAGUAGGUUGGUCAUGCCUCUGGUAUGUACUGGUCUCACUGAUUCCUCCUUCCUGAUGAACCGUAAUGCCAUUAAUUUGGUGUUGCGGGGAAUUUGGACUGUUACUUUGAAAAAAUUAGAGUGUUUAAAGCAAGCUAACGCUUGAAUACAUUAGCAUGGAAUAAUGAAAUAGGACGUUCGAUCCUAUUUUGUUGGUUUCUAGGAUUGACGUAAUGAUUAAUAGGGAUAGUUGGGGGCAUUAGUAUUCAAUUGUCAGAGGUGAAAUUCUUGGAUUUAUUGAAGACUAACUACUGCGAAAGCAUUUGCCAAGGAUGUUUUCAUUAAUCAAGAACGAAAGUUAGGGGAUCGAAGACGAUCAGAUACCGUCGUAGUCUUAGCCAUAACUAUGCCGACUAGGGACCGGAUGAUGUUAAUUUUUUAAUGUACUCAUUCGGCGCCUUA